CCUCAGGGCUAGGACCCCAGGGCUGGUUCUCCCCCCAGGCUGCCACCCCCGGUCAUGGAGGCCCGAGGUCUGGGAUCUGCCCUAGCCCAGAUCCAGGCUCUGGGCCCCAAGGACCAUCCCUCCCACCUGCCCCCGGGCCAGGCUCCAGAAGCCUCCAGAAAGCCCCCGUUUCCCAGGUGCAUCCCCCGUCCCACCUGCCGGGCUUUCUCAAUGGUGGGAGGUGGAUGGGUGAGUCGCGGGGUGGGGGAGGGGGGCGUCUUGCUCGGACCUUCUGUUGCUUUGGGUCGGCUUUGGCCCGUUCUGCGAUGACCCCGGUUAUUUCUCCCCCCCCUCCCCAGGUGGCAAGAUGACACCCCUACCUCAUACCUCUCUCUGUGGCCGAGGAGCAGACAGAAACCUCUUCCCCAUGCAAAGUCCGGAGAGAAACUGAGGCACGCAGCAGCAAAAGGCAACAGCAGCUUCCCCCUUCGUCCCAGCUGCUUUUGCGGGGGUGGAGGGCUGAGGCAGCCGGCACCCGGGGGUCACGCGGUUCCCCUUCCCAGCAGGCAGAGACCCCGGUUUGGUCACUGACUGUGCCAUGGGUGGGGCUGGGCCCCAGCUCCAGCAUUGGGGGGCAGAGAAAAGUGAAGCCUGCAGAAUUAGCUGCAGCAUCCACCAGAGCCCCCACCGGGCCCCUGAACCCCCAAUCCCAGCAGCAGAGAUGGCACCAGUGGCUGGAGUGAACGUGGUGGUGGUGGUGGACGGGAGCUGUAUCCUCCAAUACACUCAUCGGGACUCUCCCUGCCAUUGUCUCUGCCAUGGGGAUGCCCUGCUGGCCUGCCAGCCUCCUGCCUGCUAUGGGACCGCUGCACCCUGCAGCCCCCCUGCCGCUGGGUCCCCCCUCUCCCGCCGGGCCCGGGGCCUGGGGGUCCGCUGCGGCACUGAGUUUUGCCUGGGGGAGGAAGAGGAGCAGGCAGAGCGGAGACCCUGCCACCAGGGGGCGCCCCCCCACCAUGCCCCCCCGCCCAGCCGGCUGACGCCGGUGCCCCUGCCCCGCAGCGCCACGGGGCCCUGGUUUACGGUGGAGGCACCAAAGGACGGUGGACCCGGGGCCCAGGUGGCCAGGAUCUGGGACCGGGGGCGCUGCCCCGUGCUGGAGGAGGGCGACCUCGUGGCCAAGGUGAACGGGGCCGACGUGAGGGGCCUCAGGCCCCAGGAGGUGGAGAAUGUCCUGCAGCAGCACACGCGAGCUGGGGACGUCAUCCUGCUGGUGGAGCGGAGAGGUAAGGGGGGCUGUGGGCACUGGGGGGUGCCACUCGUGGCCAUUUCACUUCCUGCCUGACCCACUAGGGGAAACCAGGGGGCCGUG
rnacentral:lncRNA from 1 species